GACGAACGCUGGCGGCGUGCUUAACACAUGCAAGUCGAACGCUGAAGCACCAGCUUGCUGGUGUGGACGAGUGGCGAACGGGUGAGUAAUACGUGAGUAACCUGCCCUUGACUCUGGGAUAAGCCCGGGAAACUGGGUCUAAUACUGGAUGCUACAUGUCACCGCAUGGUGGGGGGUGGAAAGGGUUUACUGGUCUUGGAUGGGAUGACGGCCUAUCAGCUUGUUGGGGGGGUGAUGGCUCACCAAGGCUACGCCGGGUAGCCGGCCUGGGGGGGUGACCGGCCACACUGGGACUGGGACACGGCCCAGACUCCCACGGGGGGCCGGAGGGGGGAAUAUUGCCCAAUGGGCGGAAGCCUGAUGCAGCGACGCCGGGGGGGGGAAUACGGGCUUUGGGUUGGAAACCUGUUUCAGCAGGGAAGAAGCCACGAGUGACGGUAACUGGAGAAGAAGCGCCGGCUAACUACGUG
rnacentral:rRNA from 1 species